rnacentral:rRNA from 1 species
AGAGUUUGAUCCUGGCUCAGGAUGAACGCUAGCUACAGGCUUAACACAUGCAAGUCGAGGGGCAGCAUUUCAGUUUGCUUGCAAACUGGAGAUGGCGACCGGCGCACGGGUGAGUAACACGUAUCCAACCUGCCGAUAACUCGGGGAUAGCCUUUCGAAAGAAAGAUUAAUACCCGAUGGUAUAAUCAGACCGCAUGGUCUUGUUAUUAAAGAAUUUCGGUUAUCGAUGGGGAUGCGUUCCAUUAGGCAGUUGGUGAGGUAACGGCUCACCAAACCUUCGAUGGAUAGGGGUUCUGAGAGGAAGGUCCCCCACAUUGGAACUGAGACACGGUCCAAACUCCUACGGGAGGCAGCAGUGAGGAAUAUUGGUCAAUGGACGCGAGUCUGAACCAGCCAAGUAGCGUGAAGGAUGACUGCCCUAUGGGUUGUAAACUUCUUUUAUAUGGGAAUAAAGUUUUCCACGUGUGGAAUUUUGUAUGUACCACAUGAAUAAGGAUCGGCUAACUCCGUGCCAGCAGCCGCGGUAAUACGGAGGAUCCGAGCGUUAUCCGGAUUUAUUGGGUUUAAAGGGAGCGUAGGUGGACAGUUAAGUCAGUUGUGAAAGUUUGCGGCUCAACCGUAAAAUUGCAGUUGAUACUGGCUGUCUUGAGUACAGUAGAGGUGGGCGGAAUUCGUGGUGUAGCGGUGAAAUGCUUAGAUAUCACGAAGAACUCCGAUUGCGAAGGCAGCUCACUGGACUGCAACUGACACUGAUGCUCGAAAGUGUGGGUAUCAAACAGGAUUAGAUACCCUGGUAGUCCACACAGUAAACGAUGAAUACUCGCUGUUUGCGAUAUACAGUAAGCGGCCAAGCGAAAGCAUUAAGUAUUCCACCUGGGGAGUACGCCGGCAACGGUGAAACUCAAAGGAAUUGACGGGGGCCCGCACAAGCGGAGGAACAUGUGGUUUAAUUCGAUGAUACGCGAGGAACCUUACCCGGGCUUAAAUUGCAUUUGAAUAUAUUGGAAACAGUAUAGCCGUAAGGCAAAUGUGAAGGUGCUGCAUGGUUGUCGUCAGCUCGUGCCGUGAGGUGUCGGCUUAAGUGCCAUAACGAGCGCAACCCUUAUCUUUAGUUACUAACAGAUCAUGCUGAGGACUCUAGAGAGACUGCCGUCGUAAGAUGUGAGGAAGGUGGGGAUGACGUCAAAUCAGCACGGCCCUUACGUCCGGGGCUACACACGUGUUACAAUGGGGGGUACAGAAGGCAGCUACCUGGUGACAGGAUGCUAAUCCCAAAAGCCUCUCUCAGUUCGGAUCGAAGUCUGCAACCCGACUUCGUGAAGCUGGAUUCGCUAGUAAUCGCGCAUCAGCCAUGGCGCGGUGAAUACGUUCCCGGGCCUUGUACACACCGCCCGUCAAGCCAUGAAAGCCGGGGGUACCUGAAGUACGUAACCGCAAGGAGCGUCCUAGGGUAAAACUGGUAAUUGGGGCUAAGUCGUAACAAGGUA